GACGAACGCUGGCGGCGUGCCUAAUACAUGCAAGUCGAGCGGAGUUGAUGAGGUGCUUGCACCUCUGAUGCUUAGCGGCGGACGGGUGAGUAACACGUAGGUAACCUGCCUGUAAGACUGGGAUAACAUUCGGAAACGAAUGCUAAUACCGGAUACGCGAAUUUCUCGCAUGAGGGAUUCGGGAAAGACGGAGCAAUCUGUCACUUACAGAUGGACCUGCGGCGCAUUAGCUAGUUGGUGAGGUAACGGCUCACCAAGGCGACGAUGCGUAGCCGACCUGAGAGGGUGAUCGGCCACACUGGGACUGAGACACGGCCCAGACUCCUACGGGAGGCAGCAGUAGGGAAUCUUCCGCAAUGGACGAAAGUCUGACGGAGCAACGCCGCGUGAGUGAUGAAGGUUUUCGGAUCGUAAAGCUCUGUUGCCAGGGAAGAACGCUUGUGAGAGUAACUGCUCACAAGGUGACGGUACCUGAGAAGAAAGCCCCGGCUAACUACGUGCCAGCAGCCGCCGUAAAAC
rnacentral:rRNA from 1 species